rnacentral:misc_RNA from 1 species
UCCGGUUUGACACCGACAGUCCCCUUAGAGUCCCCGGCAUAACCCGAUGGUAACUAAGGGCAAAGGUUUCGCUCGUUAAGGGACUUAACCCGACAUCUCACGACACGAGCUGACGACAGCCAUGCAGCACCUGUACUAGUUCCACCCCGAAGGGCGUACUCCACUUUCAUGGAGAUAAUCCUAGCGAGUCAAGCCCAGGUAAGGUUCUGCGCGUUGCUUCGAAUUGAACCACAUGCUCUACCGCUUGUGUGAGCCCCCGUCAAUUCCUUUGAGUUUUAGCCUUGCGACCGUACUCCCCAGGCGGGAAGCUUAAUGCGUUAGCUGCGCCACCGACAAGUAAACUUGCCAACAGCUGGCUUCCAUCGUUUACGGCGUGGACUAC